rnacentral:rRNA from 1 species
GAUGAACGCUGGCGGCGUGCCUAAUACAUGUAAGUCGAGCGAACAGACGAGGAGCUUGCUCCUCUGACGUUAGCGGCGGACGGGUGAGUAACACGUGGAUAACCUACCUAUAAGACUGGGAUAACUUCGGGAAACCGGAGCUAAUACCGGAUAAUAUAUUGAACCGCAUGGUUCAAUAGUGAAAGACGGUUUUGCUGUCACUUAUACAUGGAUCCGCGCCGCAUUAGCUAGUUGGUAAGGUAACGGCUUACCAAGGCAACGAUGCGUAGCCGACCUGAGAGGGUGAUCGGCCACACUGGAACUGAGACACGGUCCAGACUCCUACGGGAGGCAGCAGUAGGGAAUCUUCCGCAAUGGGCGAAAGCCUGACGGAGCAACGCCGCGUGAGUGAUGAAGGUCUUCGGAUCGUAAAACUCUGUUAUUAGGGAAGAACAAAUGUGUAAGUAACUAUGCACGUCUUGACGGUACCUAAUCAGAAAGCCACGGCUAACUACGU